UACGUAGGGGGCAAGCGUUGUCCGGAUUUAUUGGGCGUAAAGCGCUCGCAGGUGGUUCAUUGCGUCGUGCGUGAAAGACCCCGGCUCAACUGGGGAGGGUCGUGCGAAACGGGUGAACUAGAGGCCAGUAGGGGGAUGCGGAAUUCCGGGUGUAGUGGUGGAAUGCGUAGAGAUCCGGAGGAACACCAGCGGCGAAGGCGGCAUCCUGGACUGGUCCUGACACUCAGGAGCGAAAGCGUGGGGAGCGAACAGG
rnacentral:rRNA from 1 species